rnacentral:rRNA from 1 species
GAUGAACGCUAGCGGCAGGCUUAAUACAUGCAAGUCAAGGGGGUAGCAAUACAACCGGCGCACGGGUGAGUAACGCGUACACAACAUACCAUAUACUGGAGUAUAGCUUUGGGAAACUGAAGGUAAUCCUCCAUAACAUUGCGAGAGGGCAUCUGAUUGCAAUUAAAGUUUCGGCGGUAUAUGAUUGGUGUGCGUUUGAUUAGCUAGUUGGUAGGGUAACGGCCUACCAAGGCGACGAUCAAUAGCUGGCGUGAGAGCGCGACCAGCCACACUGGAACUGAGACACGGUCCAGACUCCUACGGGAGGCAGCAGUAGGGAAUAUUGGACAAUGGAGGAAACUCUGAUCCAGCCAUGCCGCGUGAUAGAUGAAGGCCCUCUGGGUUGUAAAUAUCUUUUAUCUGGGAAGAAACACUCCUAUUCUUAGGAACUUGACGGUACCAGAGGAAUAAGCACCGGCUAACUCCGUGCCAGCAGCCGC